ensembl:lncRNA
CAAAUAAACAAAUAAAUAAAAAUAAGUGUUAUAAUAGAACUACCUCUAGCAAAAAUAAAUGUUAACAGAGUUCCCUUGUGGCUCAGAGGGUUAAGGAUCCAGUGUUGUCACUGCUCUGCUUCUGGUUACAGCUGUGGCAUAGGUUCAGUCCCUAGUCCAGGAACUUCCACUUGCCAUGGGUGCAGCCAAAAAAUAAAUGAGACAGCAGAAGUAUGGUUGUAUUUGGUGUUAUUAAAGUAUUGAGGAAUCUGAUGUAAAUUAUUAAACUUCUCACAAAUAUCCACAUAUACAAGCAUCCAUUCAUGAACAAUAUACAAUAAGACCCCAUUCCUUAUGGUUUCUAUUGCUGCUGCCAUGUUUGAAAAAUACUUUUGCAUCCCAACAUUAUGUACCCUCUUCACCUUGAUUUUGUACUAGUUUUGUUUCAUCCUUUGGCAACUGGAAACUCUCAAAUAUUUAUUUGAUUCAACAAGAAAGUUUUGAGUUCAUUUCCAAAUACAUUUUCAUACUUUGGGGUACUUUAGUGAACCCCCUAGUUAUGAUUUCCAUUCUUUUCUGCACUAGUAGAAGGGAAUGGCAAAUUUCACCAAAUCUAGGUUACAGAGAUUGCCAGACAAUUUUUUAUAGAGAAAAACUGCAUUUAUUCAGGGAAGUUCACAAAGCAAGGGCAUCAUGUUUACAGUGUCUGUGUUAAAAGUGCUAUCUUGUUGUAGCUAAAGUUGAAGCACUGACUCUUGUUUACAUCAAUAAGAUGCAAGAAGAAAACAGUGUGAUUGAUGCUAACCUUAAUGAAGCAAAAAAGUGUGAGUUUACAUUGGAACUAGACCAAAUUAGGCCCCACAAAGAGCUAAUUAUUGCUGAUUGCUAAUGAUGCUAAGUUAGUUGUGAGAAUAACACAAAUAUCUUUUUAUUCUCUUAAUACUCAACAUGUUAUAUUUUGUUGUUGAGGAUGAGCGGCUAACGCUGUCAUCUCUGCAGAUCAAUGUAGAGCAGUAAUUCUCAAGCAGAGAUAAUUUUUGUCCUCCAGGAGCUAUUUGGCAAUGUCUGGAGCUAUUGUUACAAACAGGGAGUGGAUUGUGUAACUGGUAUCUAGGGGGAAAUGAUGCUGCUAAACUGCCUAUGGCCAGGACAACCUCCCACAAAAAUAAAAAAGAAUUAUAUGACCCAACUGAGAUAGCAUCUGAAGCUGCACACUAAGUUUAUAUACAAAGGAGUUUCCAUCUUCGCAAAGCAGAAACAAAUCCUACUAGGAACCAUGAGGUUGCAAGUUCAAUCCCUGCCCUCCCUCAGUGGGAGUUAAGGAUCUGGUGUUGCCAUGAGCUGUGGUAUAGGUGGCAGAUGCAGCUUGGAUCUGGUGUUGAUGUGGCUGUGGUGUAGGUCGGCAGCUAUAGCUCCAAUUGGACCCCUAACCUGGAAUCCUCCAUAUGCAGUGGAAGUGGCACUAAAAAGCAAAAAAUAAAAAAAAAA